CUCCGCUGAUCUGCAACAGAUGCAAACAUUUUGUUCUAGUUUCACCGAAUAGGGGAACAGUGGCCGCCAAGGAUAUCUUCACCGAGCCCUCUCGUGGCCACCAACAGGGCUUCCAGACCUGACUGCUCCAUCUCACCAGUGAAAACUGGUAAACACUGGCAUUUCAUGCUGAGGGAAAAACCCAAGCCCUUCCUCCAG
rnacentral:lncRNA from 1 species